rnacentral:rRNA from 1 species
AGAGUUUGAUCAUGGCUCAGGAUGAACGCUGGCGGCGUGCCUAACACAUGCAAGUCGAGCGAUCUUCUUCGGAAGAGAGCGGCGGACGGGUGAGUAACGCGUGGGUAACCUGCCCUGUACACACGGAUAACAUACCGAAAGGUAUGCUAAUACGGGAUAAUAUGCUUUUUCACAUGGUAGAAGUAUCAAAGCUCCGGCGGUACAGGAUGGACCCGCGUCUGAUUAGCUAGUUGGUAAGGUAACGGCUUACCAAGGCGACGAUCAGUAGCCGACCUGAGAGGGUGAUCGGCCACAUUGGAACUGAGACACGGUCCAAACUCCUACGGGAGGCAGCAGUGGGGAAUAUUGCACAAUGGGCGAAAGCCUGAUGCAGCAACGCCGCGUGAGCGAUGAAGGCCUUCGGGUCGUAAAGCUCUGUCCUCAAGGAAGAUAAUGACGGUACUUGAGGAGGAAGCCCCGGCUAACUACGUGCCAGCAGCCGCGGUAAUACGUAGGGGGCUAGCGUUAUCCGGAAUUACUGGGCGUAAAGGGUGCGUAGGUGGUUUCUUAAGUCAGAGGUGAAAGGCUACGGCUCAACCGUAGUAAGCCUUUGAAACUGGGAAACUUGAGUGCAGGAGAGGAGAGUGGAAUUCCUAGUGUAGCGGUGAAAUGCGUAGAUAUAGGAGGAACACCAGUUGCGAAAGGCGGCUCUCUGGACUGUAACUGACACUGAGGCACGAAAGCGUGGGGGAGCAAACAGGAUUAGAUACCCUGGUAGUCCACGCCGUAAACGAUGAGUACUAGCUGUCGGAGGUUUACCCCCUUCGGUGGGCGCAGCCUAACGCAUUAAGUACUCCCGCCCUGGGCAGUACGCCUCGGCAAGAGUGAACUCAAAGAUUGAACGGGACCGCCACAGUUAGCGGAGCAUGUGUAUCGAGCCACGGCGAGACCUACUAGCCUGACAUCUUGACCGAUGCCUAUCGACUCUUCCCUUCGG